UAGGGAAUCUUCGGCAAUGGGGGCAACCCUGACCGAGCAACGCCGCGUGAGUGAAGAAGGUUUUCGGAUCGUAAAGCUCUGUUGUAAGAGAAGAACGUGUGUGAGAGUGGAAAGUUCACACAGUGACGGUAACUUACCAGAAAGGGACGGCUAACUACGUGCCAGCAGCCGCGGUAAUACGUAGGUCCCGAGCGUUGUCCGGAUUUAUUGGGCGUAAAGCGAGCGCAGGCGGUUUAAUAAGUCUGAAGUUAAAGGCAGUGGCUUAACCAUUGUACGCUUUGGAAACUGUUAAGCUUGAGUGCAGAAGGGGAGAGUGGAAUUCCAUGUGUAGCGGUGAAAUGCGUAGAUAUAUGGAGGAACACCGGUGGCGAAAGCGGCUCUCUGGUCUGUAACUGACGCUGAGGCUCGAAAGCGUGGGGAGCAAACAGG
rnacentral:rRNA from 1 species